rnacentral:rRNA from 1 species
UACGUAGGGGGCAAGCGUUGUCCGGAAUCAUUGGGCGUAAAGAGCGUGUAGGCGGCCCGAUAAGUCCGCCGUGAAAGCCCAGGGCUCAACCCUGGGAUGCCGGUGGAUACUGUCGGGCUAGAAUCCGGAAGAGGCGAGUGGAAUUCCUGGUGUAGCGGUGAAAUGCGCAGAUAUCAGGAGGAACACCGGUGGCGAAGGCGGGUCUCUGGGCCGAUAUCGACGCUGAGGAGCGAAAGCGUGGGGAGCGAACAGG